rnacentral:rRNA from 1 species
UACGUAGGGUGCAAGCGUUGUCCGGAAUUAUUGGGCGUAAAGGGCGCGUAGGCGGCCAGCACAAGUCAGUUGUGAAAUCUCCGAGCUUAACUCGGAAAGGUCAACUGAUACUGUGCGGCUAGAGUGCGGAAGGGGCAACUGGAAUUCUUGGUGUAGCGGUGAAAUGCGUAGAUAUCAAGAGGAACACCUGCGGCGAAGGCGGGUUGCUGGGCCGACACUGACGUGAGGCGCGAAAGCCAGGGGAGCGAACGGG